rnacentral:tRNA from 1 species
ACUUAAAUAGCUUAUAUUUUAGAGCAUGACCCUGAAGAUGUUAAGGAAACCAUUUGGUUUUUAAGUA